AAAAAAGGGACAUAGUGACGGUUUGACAUCGUAGUUACCGUUUAAUGCUGUAGCUAAAUUUCUAAAUCAAUGGUCGGUGAAAAGGAAAAUUAAAGCUAAAGUGCAACAUUUUAAUGUUUGUAGAGUACUAACGUUUUGAUUCACAUAACUAAGGCCCGUUUGUUUCUCCAUCCAAAUGAAUUAUCUAGAUAGAGAUAAAAAAUGAUGUUUGUUUUUCACAAUUUAACAUAUUAUUUGGAUGAAUCACUAGGAUGAUCCAUCUGAAUGACUUUGUAAAUUUAGACAAAUUUUUAAAACUCAUUUAGAUGGACAUAGUUGACCAUUUGGAUGGAGAUGAUUUAGUUAAAAAGAAUAAAUGACAAAUAUAACGUUUGUAAUAAUACUAAUUUUCAAUAAA
rnacentral:sRNA from 1 species